rnacentral:lncRNA from 1 species
GCAUAGCUUGAAGUUAUAAAUACAGAUUUGUAUUCUGUUAUUAAAUCAAAACCAUGCACUCACAGCAGGUGGCUAUGCUUUAAAUCUCUUGCCAGUGUCUGCUCAGCUUUUAUGGAUCAGUCCAAUUAUUCACAGCUCUGCAUCCUCACAACACCUAAGAUGGCAUUUUUCAAAUUCACACACACCCAGCCCUUGAAUUCAAGCAAGGAUUAUAUUUUGGAUUUGGGCCUGAGCAAGAACAGAAAAAGGAAAAGUUAUUUUGAUUUCAUUCAAAGAGUGGAGAAGAAGAAGAAUGCUGCCAAGUGAUCAGAGUUGGAGAAGUCUCCCUCCCUUCUGCCUCCGCCAAUAUUAGAAUAAAGGUUUUUGACUUUUUCCA